rnacentral:piRNA from 1 species
UGGUGACUUCUCAGUUGAUGGUCUGU